CUCUUCGACAACUUAUAUAACCCCAAACAUGAAGAAACAGGCAAGGCCUCCCAUUUUCUCCCUGUGGUUUAAAGCCAGGAGGAAAGUGAAACCCUGUCUCUCCGCUUUGUGCUCUGGGUUACAGACCUCCUGUAAAAACAUGGCUACGAGCACAGACUUCUCACACGGGUCACAGGUCCUUUCCCAUCCCAUGUCUCCACCAAGCAUGUCUACAGUUGAAGCUGCGGAGUGAAGAUGAGCAAGCUUUUGUUGCAUCAUGCAAUUACUAUUUUAGAUAUUUUCCCCAGAAUAUUCUUAAUAAAUUGCUACUACCUCUAACCAUGGUAAAACUCUGUACCAAGAAGAUAAUAAUAUUUAAUAAAUCAGUGGCUUCAUAUCACCUUAUUAC